UUGAACUUGCAGAGAUUGCCUGGCUU
rnacentral:misc_RNA from 1 species